AUUGAACGCUGGCGGCAUGCCUUACACAUGCAAGUCGAACGGUAACGGGCCUUCGGGUGCCGACGAGUGGCGAACGGGUGAGUAAUGUAUCGGAACGUACCUUUCAGUGGGGGAUAACGUAGCGAAAGUUACGCUAAUACCGCAUAUUCUGUGCGCAGGCAAGCAGGGGAUCGCAAGACCUUGCGCUGAUUGAGCUGCCGAUAUCAGAUUAGCUAGUGGGUUAGGUAAAGGCUCACCAAGGCGACGAUCUGUAGCGGGUCUGACAGGAUGAUCCGCCACACUGGAACUGAGCCACAGUCCCGACUCCUACGGGAUGAGGGAGUGGGGAAUUUUGGACAAUGGGGGCAACCCUGAUCCAGCCAUGCCGCUUGGGUGAAGAAGGCCUUCGGGUGGUAAAGCUCUUUCGGCCGGGAAGAAAUCGUAUCAGCUAAUACCUGGUGCGGAAGACGGUACCGGCAUAAGAAGCACCGGCUAACUGCGUGCCAGCCGCCGCCGUAAGAC
rnacentral:rRNA from 1 species